GAUCAAGUCAAUAAGGGCACGUGAUGGAUGUCUUGGCGUCAAGAGGCGAUGAAGGACGUAGGAACCUGCGAUAAGCCCAGGGGAACUGGUAACCAAGUUAUGAUCCUGGGAUUUCCGAAUGGGGCAACCCGGCUCUUAUGAGUCAUCCACGGCUGAAUGUAUAGGCCGUGAGAAGCGAACCUCGUGAACUGAAACAUCUUAGUAGCGAGAGGAAAGGAUAUCAACCGAUACUCCGUUAGUAGCGCCGAGCGAACGCGGAUCAACCAGCAGUCUGUUCGAAUGACCUGGAAAGGUCAACCACAGAAGGUGACAGUCCUGUAAACCAGAAGCUGGCCAGCCCUAGAGUAGAGUCGGACUCGUGAAAUCCGGCUUGAACACGGGGGGACCACCCUCCAAGGCUAAGUACUACUUGACGACCGAUAGUGAACCAGUAAGGCGACUGAACGAUGAAAAGAACCCCGAUAAGGGGAGUUCAAAGAACCUGAAAUCACGUGCUUACACAGCGGUUGCAGCCCGUAAGGGUGGCAGCGUGCCUUUUGCAUAAUGAUCUGGCGAGUUACUCUCCACGGCAAGGCUAAGCCAUACCCUGGCGCAGCCGAAGGGAAACCGAGUCUUCAAAGGGCGUGUAGUCGUGGGGGGUAGGCGCGAAACUGGGUGAUCUACCCAUGGGCAGGUUGAAGGGAGGGUAAUGCCUCCUGGAGGACCGAAGCCGUGAACGUUGAAAAGUUCUGGCAUGACCUGUGGGGAGGAGUUAAAGUCUAAUCAUACCCAGAGAUAUCUCGUUCUCCCCGAAAUAGUUUUUGGACUAGCCUCGUGUAUCACAAGUUGGGGGUAGAGCUACUGAAUGGGUUUGGAGGGCUACCCGCCUAUCCGGCCUAAUCAAACUCCGAAUACCAACUUGGCAGGCACGGGAGUAAGACUACGAGGGAUAAUCUUCGUGGUCAAAAGGGAAACAACCCGGACCACCAGCUAAGGUCCCUAAUCGAGCCUCAGUUAGAAAGGUAGUCGGAUUGCUGUGACAGCUAGGAUGUUGGCUUAGAAGCAGCCACCAUUUAAAAAGUGCGUAACAGCUUACUAGUCGAGGAAUCCGGCGCCGAUAAUUAUCGGGAAUCAAGGUUCGUACCGAAGCUGUGGACUGACAUUGUCAGUGGUAGGGGAGCGUUGCUGUCAGCUGUGAAGCUUUCCCGGCAAGGGUUGGUGGAGCGGCAGCAAGUGAAUAUGCCAGAUUGAGUAACGAUAAAUGGAGUGAGAAUCUCCAUCGCCGAAAGCCCAAGGUUUCCUGGGGAAGGUAAUUCCGCCCAGGGUUAGUCGGAUCCUAAGACGAGGCUGAAGAGCGUAGUCGAUGGACAUGCGGUCAACAUUCCGCAACCUGCAUGGAAGGUCACGCCGGCGUGACGAAUCUCAAAGUUCAACGGGACAGUGAAGCGUCCAGGCCCUAGAGGCCGCUGUUGGGUGGCGAGGUUUCAAGAAAAACCGUCCGGAUACAACCAUGCAGUCCGUACCAAAACUGACACAGGUGGGCGUGGCGAAUAGCCUCAGGCGCUCGAGAAAACGGUCGUGAAGGAACUAGGCAAUUUUACCCCGUACGUUCGCAAUAAGGGGGCCCUACUCGCAAGAGAGGGCGCAGAGAAAAGGCUCUGGCAACUGUUUAUCAAAAACACAGCACUGUGCUAACUCGCAAGAGGACGUAUACAGUGUGACGCUUGCCCGGUGCCGGAACGUCAAGGGAGCUGGUUAGCCGCAAGGCGAAGCUAGCGACCGAAGCGCCGGUAAACGGCGGCCGUAACUAUGACGGUCCUAAGGUAGCGAAAUUCCUUGUCGGGUAAGUUCCGACGCGCAUGAAUAGCGUAAUGACUGGAGCACUGUCUCCACGACCGACUCGGUGAAAUAGUAGUAGCGGUGAAGAUGCCGCUUACCCGCGGCAAGACGGAAAGACCCCGUGGACCUUUACUGUACGCUUGCAGUGAUCAUGGAUUCAAUCUGCGUAGGAUAGGUGGGAGGCUUUGAAGUUCCGCUUUCGGGCGGGAUGGAGCCAAUGGUGAAAUACCACCCUGAUCGGAUUCGUGGUCUAACGUUGAUUCCCUUGAAGCAGGGCAGCGGACACUGCAUGCCGGGCAGUUUGACUGGGGCGGUCUCCUCCCAAAAAGUAACGGAGGAGCGCAAAGGUUGGCUCAGUGCGGUUGGCAACCGCAUGUCGAGUGUAAGAGCACAAGCCAGCUUUACUGCAAGUCAUACAGGACAAGCAGUCUCGAAAGAGGGCUCUAGUGAUCCGGCGAUUCUGUGUGGAAGGGUCGUCGCUCAACGGAUAAAAGGUACCCCGGGGAUAACAGGCUGAUCGCUCCCGAGCGUCCAUAGCGGCGGAGCGGUUUGGCACCUCGAUGUCGGCUCAUCACAUCCUGGGGCUGAAGGCGGUCCCAAGGGUUAGGCUGUUCGCCUAUUAAAGUGGUACGCGAGCUGGGUUCAGACCGGCGUGAGCCAGGUCGGUCCCUAUCUGUCGUGGGCGUUGCAACAUUGACGGGAGACAACUUUAGUACGAGAGGAUUGGGUUGGACGCACCCCUGGUGUGCCAGUUGGACCGCUCGGUCCAUAGCUGGGUAGCUACGUGCGGCAGGGAUAAUCGCUGAAAGCAUCUAAGCGAGAAGCCCACCCGGAGAUAAGUGUUGCUUUGAGACCCCUUGAAGACUACAAGGUUGAUAGGCCACAUGUGUAAGCGGAGAGAUCCGUUCAGCUAAGUGGUACUAACGGUCAAAGACUUUGUC
rnacentral:rRNA from 1 species